GACGAACGCUGGCGGCGCGCUUAACACAUGCAAGUCGAACGGAAAGGCCUGCUUUCCCUUGUGGAUUGCGGGUACUCGAGUGGCGAACGGGUGAGUAACACGUGAGUGAUCUGCCCGCAACUUGGGUAUAAGCCUGGGAAACUGGGUCUAAUUCCCGAUAGGACUGCAGGGUGGUGCCUGUGGUGGAAAACGACUUUCUUGUGGGUGGGGAUGAGCUCGUGGCCUAUCAGCUUGUUGGUGGGGUAAUGGCCUACCAAGGCGGCGACGGGUAGCCAGCCUGAGAGGGUGGACAGCCACAUUGGGACUGGGAUACGGCCCAGACUCCUACGGGAGGCAGCAGUGGGGGAUAUUGCACAAUGGGCGGAAGCCUGAUGCAGCGACGCCGCGUGGGGGAUGACGGCCUUCGGGUUGUAAACUCCUUUCGACCGCGAGGAAGCCACCUGGUUGGAAGGGUGGUGACGGUAGUGGUAGAAGAAGCACCGGCUAACUACGUG
rnacentral:rRNA from 1 species